rnacentral:tRNA from 1 species
GCCCCAGUAGCUCAGCUUGGUUAGAGCGACUGUUUCGUAAACAGUAGGCCGGGGGUCCAAAUCCCUCCUGGGGCU